rnacentral:lncRNA from 1 species
UUAUUCACAACAGCCAAGAUGUAGAGGUGAUUCAAAUGUCCAUCAGUGAAUGAAUAGAUAAAGAAAUGUGGUAUAUACAUACAAUGGAAUCUUAGCCUAAAAAAGAAAGAAUUCCUGUCAUAUGCUACAGCAUGGAUGAACCUUGAGGACCUUAUGGCCGAGGAUGAACACACAAGAGAUUCACAGGAACAAACCAGACCACUGACUUGCUGCACUGAAGUUGCAAUACUUCUGAGACGUAGAUCUCCUUAUUAAUCUAGCUCAGUGUUUUGUUACCUGCAGCACAGAAACACUUUCCCUGAAAAACAGAUACAACUUUUAAAGCAUAAUUUUUAUUCUUUAGGUAUUCUGGCAAACAUUUGGAUUUUUGCCCAUCUACUAGGCUAUGAGCCAGGAUAAACACAUUACUCUCUUCUUUAACAAAAAGAGCAUGGUUAACUCCAAAGACUUCUCUAGACCAGCCUGGAUGGUACCUAAACUUUAAUCAACCAAUGCUCAAGUAAAAGAGCAGUAUCCAGCCCCAGCACACCUAACUGUUUUGCAUAACAUAGGGUUUUGAGUUCCUUUCCCAGCCCUGGCGGAUCCUUGUAAGGGUGUUGUCUACACAUGGCAUGAUUAGGACAAACUUGAUCACCAGCACAGUGCAAGGAAUGAUAAGCCCUAACACGUAGGCUGCAGGAAGAUACCAUCUGAGAUUUGAAGGGCUGAGGAAUCUCUUCCCACCGUACACCAGGGUGUGGGCUGUACACAAGAUCAGGGUCAAAUAACCCAGUUUGGACUAUAAACAAGAAACAAAAAUAUGAGUAUUCCCAAAGCCACAUAUGAAUCACUGAGCCAGGCUGAGGAGGAGCAGAAGAAAAUAUAUAAGAAGAGAUUUACCUGGGUAACGGUUAAGUUUCCCAAUCUCCAUCGUACAUAAUAUCGAAUAGGAAUCACAAGUGUGUAGAGGACAUGAAGGAAGGCAAAUCCCAGAGCUACCAAGCCAAGCUGCUUUCGGCAAAGCAUCCAGUGGUCAAGCCAGCUCCUGACUGGAGAGCCCAGGCUGAGAUGGUGUUAAAUGCUUUUACCACGUGGGCUCCUGGCACCAAAUGAGCAAGGUCUCACCCCACAGGCCUUGGAAACCUGAGGCAGUAUUCUUCUGGGAUGUUUCCAACUAGGCUUCCCAUGAGGAUGUUAGAGCCAGCCUGGCUGGUGAAUUUUACUUCUCUCACCUCUCAGAGGUAAGAGGUCUGAGAGGCUCAGGCCCUUCCAGCUUUUGAGGAUUCCAGCAUAGUAGAAACAUAAAAAGGUCCAAAGGGAAUUACAAAAAUAAUCUAUUUUCAGUUCUUAUACUUAACAAGUCAAUUCUUAUUAAAAAAAUAAAUCAAUCAAACUUUU